GGGCGGUGUCUCCUGUCUAACCCCAACAUCCUAAUACCCUGGCUAGGGGCGGUGUCUCCUGUCUAACCCCAACAUCCUAAUACCCAGGCUAGGGGCGGUGUCUCCCGUCUAACCCCCAACAUCCUAAUACCCAGGCUAGGGGCGGUGUCUCCCGUCUAACCCCCAACAUCCUAAUACCCAGGCUAGGGGUGGUGUCUCCUGUCUACAUCCUAAUACCCUGGCUAGGGUCUGUGUCAGGACAGUAGAGGGCCUCCACUAUACUACCCUCCAGAACAACACACCAGACCCUCCACUAUACUACCCUCCAGAACAACACACCAGACCCUCCACUAUACUACCCUCCAUACCAAUCACAGACCCUCCACUACACGACCCUCCAGACCAAUAACAGACCCUCCACUAUACUACCCUCCAGACCAAUAACAGACCCUCCACUAUACUACCCUCCAGAACAGACCCUCCACUAUACUACCCUCCAGAACAAUCACACCAGACCCUGAACUAUACUACCCUCCAGAACAAUCACACCAGACCCUGCACUAUACUACCCUCCAGAACAAUCACACCAGACCCUCCACACUAC
ensembl:lncRNA